GGGAGUGUCGCCUAAUGGAUGGGCAUCGAUCUUCUAAAUCGACCGAUGUAGGUUCGACUCCUACCACUCCUGCCU
rnacentral:tRNA from 1 species